CUAUUGGCCACACAUACAAUCUACCUUUGUAGAAACCAUGCAAAGGUGUGUAAUCCUGAGGUAUGAAAGGCGAGGGCUCCGUGUUCAGGCCUGAGCAAAAUAUUCGUUCGAUCCGUUUCGACUCGCUAUUCGAUUUGAUUUGAUUCAAAAAAUCCGAAUAUCCAUAAGAUUUUGGAGCAAAGCAAAUAGGAAAAUGUAGUAUUCGUAAAAAUCGAAGCAAAUAACAAAUACUAUUUUUUUUAAAGUCGGAUAUUCGCUUCGAUCCGUAUAUAUAUCAUAAUAUAGGUUGUGGAUUUGUAUAUGUUGGGAUUUGGGCUUGUAUUUGUAUCCUUUGGGCAUGUGUUUUUUUUUGUGACACAGUUUUUAUUAGAUAAGUGGAAUUUUUUAAAAUAAAAUUGUUUCAUAUUUUAUAUUUUAUCCUAAAAUUGUCGUUUUAGUUUCCAAUCCAUCAAAUAUAAGAGCGACGUUUCUGUUUCCUUUCUUCGACCUUUCACUAUUUUUAUCACUCAAUUUGGUUACAUAAUUUAUAACCAGAAAAUUUCCAGUUGCUCUCAAUCUCACACUCGUAAGCCAUAAGGUAAGAAAUUUGAAAUCAUGUUAAAUAAUUUUU
rnacentral:sRNA from 1 species